AAAGUACUCUCUCCGUCCAGAAAUAAGUGACUCAGAUGUGUUCGAAUUCGUAUGUAUAUAGACGAGUUUUAGUGUAUAAAUACAUGCGAAUGUAGACAAAUCCGAAUCAGUUAUUUCCGCACUGAGGGAAUACAAU
rnacentral:pre_miRNA from 1 species